rnacentral:rRNA from 1 species
GACGAACGCUGGCGGCGUGCUUAACACAUGCAAGUCGAACGGAAAGGCCCUGCUUUUGUGGGGUGCUCGAGUGGCGAACGGGUGAGUAACACGUGAGUAACCUGCCCUUGACUUUGGGAUAACUUCAGGAAACUGGGGCUAAUACCGGAUAGGAGCUCCUGCUGCAUGGUGGGGGUUGGAAAGUUUCGGCGGUUGGGGAUGGACUCGCGGCUUAUCAGCUUGUUGGUGGGGUAGUGGCUUACCAAGGCUUUGACGGGUAGCCGGCCUGAGAGGGUGACCGGCCACAUUGGGACUGAGAUACCGCCCAGACUCCUACGGGAGGCAGCAGUGGGGAAUAUUGCACCAUGGGCGGAAGCCUGAUGCAGCAACGCCGCGUGCGGGAUGACGGCCUUCGGGUUGUAAACCGCUUUCGCCUGUGACGAAGCGUGAGUGAGGGUAAUGGGUAAAGAAGCACCGGCUAACUACGUG